CGACGGGGCAUUAUUACUUUUGGUACGCGCUGUGACACGUCAAACUCGUACCGUGAGUAAUAAUGCGUUGUCG
rnacentral:pre_miRNA from 12 species